rnacentral:lncRNA from 1 species
UUUCGUAGAAGUUGACUCGAGGUGAUUUACCAAAUACAAAUCAAUUACUUUUCAUGGUUAUAAUAAUUCUAGAAUUUGACAUACUUAGCGUAUAUUUCCGGUCCGGUGUUUGCUGUUCGGUGUGAAAGAAAAGAGGGACGAAAGAUACCAAAGGGACAGUCAAACUCAUAAAUCUAAAACAAACUGACAACGCCAUGGCUAAAAAUAAAAAAGACAAACAGAAAACAAUAGUACACGACACAACAUAGAAAACUAAAGAAUAAACAACACGAACCCCACCAAAAACUAGGGGUGAUCUCAGGUGCUCCGGAAGGGUAAGCAGAUCCUGCUCCACAUGUGGCACCCGUCGUGUUGCUUAAGUGAUUACAAAUCCGGUAAAUAGUCUAAUUCGGUAGGUCAUAUUCAUGAAAGGUGAACCCAGGCUCCAUAUAUAUGCCGUACUCUGACCUACAAUUGUUUACUUUCACAAAUUGAGACUUGGAUCGAGAGUUAUCU